rnacentral:rRNA from 1 species
GAUGAACGCUGGCGGCGUGCCUAAUACAUGCAAGUCGAGCGAACAGACGAGGAGCUUGCUCCUCUGACGUUAGCGGCGGACGGGUGAGUAACACGUGGAUAACCUACCUAUAAGACUGGGAUAACUUCGGGAAGCCGGAGCUAAUCCCGGAUAAUCUAUUGAACCGCAUGGUUCAAUAGUGAAAGACGGUUUUGCUGUCACUUAUAGAUGGAUCCGCGCCGCAUUAGCUAGUUGGUAAGGUAACGGCUUACCAAGGCGACGAUGCGUAGCCGACCUGAGAGGGUGAUCGGCCACACUGGAACUGAGACACGGUCCAGACUCCUACGGGAGGCAGCAGUAGGGAAUCUUCCGCAAUGGGCGAAAGCCUGACGGAGCAACGCCGCGUGAGUGAUGAAGGUCUUCGGAUCGUAAAACUCUGUUAUUAGGGAAGAACAAAUGUGUAAGUAACUAUGCACGUCUUGACGGUACCUAAUCAGAAAGCCACGGCUAACUACGUG